GGAUCAUUAAAGAGUAAGGGUGCUCAGCGCCCGACCUCCAACCCUUUGUUGUUAAAACUACCUUGUUGCUUUGGCGGGACCGCUCGGUCUCGAGCCGCCGGGGCUUCGGCCCAGGCGAGCGCCCGCCAGAGUUAAACCAAACUCUUGUUAUAAACCGGUCGUCUGAGUUAAAUUUUUGAAUAAAUCAAAACUUUCAACAACGGAUCUCUUGGUUCUCGCAUCGAUGAAGAACGCAGCGAAAUGCGAUAAGUAAUGUGAAUUGCAGAAUUCAGUGAAUCAUCGAAUCUUUGAACGCACAUUGCGCCCCUUGGUAUUCCGAGGGGCAUGCCUGUUCGAGCGUCAUUACACCACUCAAGCAUUGCUUGGUAUUGGGCGUCCGUCCCUUCGGGGGCGCGCCUUAAAGACCUCGGCGAGGCCUCACCGGCUUUAGGCGUAGUAGAAUUUAUUCGAACGUCUGUCAAAGGAGAGGACUUCUGCCGACUGAAACCUUUUAUUUUUCUAGGUUGACCUCGGAUCAGGUAGGGAUACCCGCUGAACUUAAGCAUAU
rnacentral:rRNA from 1 species